GACGAACGCUGGCGGCGUGCUUAACACAUGCAAGUCGAACGGUGAAGGGACUGGUUUUGCUGGUCCUGGAUGAGUGGCGAACGGGUGAGUAACACGUGAGUAACCUGCCCCCUUCUUCUGGAUAACCGCAUGAAAGUGUGGCUAAUACGGGAUAUUCUGGGUCUGUCGCAUGGUGGGCCUGGGAAAGAUUGCGCCUUUUUUGGUGUUUUUGGUGGGGGAUGGGCUCGCGGCCUAUCAGCUUGUUGGUGGGGUGAUGGCCUACCAAGGCGGUGACGGGUAGCCGGCCUGAGAGGGUGGACGGUCACUGGGACUGAGACACGGCCCAGACUCCUACGGGAGGCAGCAGUGGGGAAUAUUGCACAAUGGGCGCAAGCCUGAUGCAGCGACGCCGCGUGAGGGAUGGAGGCCUUCGGGUUGUGAACCUCUUUCGCCAGUGAAGCAGGCCUGCCUCUUUUUGUGGGUGGGUUGACGGUAGCUGGAUAAGAAGCGCCGGCUAACUACGUG
rnacentral:rRNA from 1 species